rnacentral:rRNA from 1 species
CUUGCCAGACGAGCUGAGAGGAGGUGCAUGGCCGUCGCCGGCUCGUGCCGUGAGGUGUCCAGUUAAGUCUGGGAACGAGCGAGACCCCCGCCCCUAGUUGCCACCCAGCCCCUUCGGGGGCUGGAGCACUCUAGGGGGACUGCCGGCGACAAGCCGGAGGAAGGAGGGGGCUACGGCAGGUCAGUAUGCCCCGAAACCCCCGGGCUACACGCGAGCUGCAAUGGCGGGGACAGCGGGUUCCGACCCCGAAAGGGGAAGGCAAUCCCUUAAACCCCGCCUCAGUAGGAAUCGAGGGCUGCAACUCGCCCUCGUGAACCUGGAAUCCCUAGUAACCGCGUGUCACCAACGCGCGGUGAAUACGUCCCUGCUCCU